AAAAAAAUAAAAUAAAAUGUGGGAAUCUCAUUCCAGCUUUUAGAGGACAUCAGUUUUCAGGAACAGCUCCCUGAUAAAGCAGCAGUAGCAGGUGGCAGCAGAGUACCCACCCACGCAAGCUAUCUUCAGGGACUGGAGAGCCAAGCUAAUUACACUGCAGCUAGGACAGCAGCAGCAGCAGCACAUAGAGGAGUUAGACCGGAUGCAAGAAUGAAUUCAGUCUUGCUGAUCCCUUGCAGAGAAGGGUGCCUCCCCCUGAUUUCACUUGCGUUCCUCAAGGUGAGCUGGCUAGAAAGCAGCUGAUCGGAGGCUAGAAGACUUUAUGCAGCUAACAUUCAUUUAGAGAUGGACAAGGAGGUUUCAUUCUCACAAAACACUGAGGUAUAUUUUACAAAGAGUCUCAUACCUACCAUUUUGAGAAGAAAGGCAGAAAGCUUAAACUAAAAUCUUCCCCUGCAACGGAAAAGACAGUUAGUUUCCAUGAAGAAAUGAAGGCAGUGAUUUGCUUAGGCUUGUCUAUCAUUUUCUAAAUCUUUAUCAUGACACUGCAGCAGUUUGAAGCAGAUAUUUCUCUGCAAAAUCCCUGCCUUUUUUAUAUCAUAAGAACACAGCCAUUCUAAG
rnacentral:lncRNA from 1 species